GACUGGAUUCGUCUGAAAGAAGAAAGUCAUAAUCAGACUCGAGGGUUAAACCCAUCAAAGUCACUGACGAGUAAGAACAAGGUGGGUGGAGCUACUGAGGAGUUUAUUCGGGGGAGAUACAUUCGGGGGUUUCUGAGUGACUUAGGACAAGGGGUCUCACACUGUGGACUGCACAAAUCAAGGAUGGAUAAAGAACACAGAGGGGGACGCUGCCCUGGUGGGACAGGAAGUAGAGACGCAGAGGGGAGCAACUUCACCUGCUGAUCACCUUCAGUCUGACCGGUGGGACUGGCCUCUGAUUGGACGUGUCUGAUAGCCCAUCCAAUUGAUGGGAAUGGGAGAGAGAGAAAGGAAGAGGAACCUGAUGACAGUUCCCUGCAGAGAUGAAACUCCUCAGAAGCGCUCAGAGAGAAGAUGACACUUCAUACCACAUCAUUUGAUGGGAUUCAGAGAGGGUUAUGGAUCCUGUCACACAGCCAAAUGAAGUCGAGGGGAAAACCGAGUCCCAGGGCUCUUCUCUGCUCCAACACCAGCCUGUAAAUAUCAUGCAUUAUUGAUGGGAUAAAAUUUUGAUUCUUGUUAGUUUUAAAGCUGACAUUAUGCUGGGCAAAUUAAAGAUGUGAUGUUUAAUGCCAUGUAUAGAGAAAGCAUCUUCUAGAUAAAAAUGUAUGCCAUAAUGAAUAUACAAAAUUCACAAAUAAGAUCUUGUUAAUAAUCAAUGCAAUUAAAAAUAGAGAAAAUGAAGAUUUUUUUUUUCUCUCUCUCUCUCUCUUUUAUCCCCAACCCCCGCCCCCCAAAAUUUAAAAUGAGAACAAGCACAUUAAAUCACGGAUUAUUCUUGACAUGUGAAACAGUCAUUGGGGAAUUGGAUUUGACAUGGUCAUACAUGAAGCAAAUCCUGUUUGAAGCUAAUCGUUUUAAACACACUUCCAUGCCAAAAACCUGACAAUACAGUCUCCCACACACUGUUCAGAAUAAUGCUGUUGAGACAAUAAAGGAUCAUGCAUUACUCAGCUGAUUGUGAAUGCUCUUUCAUUUACAGAAUAAAUGACGCCACUUAUCCAGCACCACAGCAAUUCCCUGUCUGUCUGUAUAUGGACAGAGACAUA